GUGGGGAAUAUUGGACAAUGGGCGCAAGCCUGAUCCAGCCAUGCCGCGUGAGUGAUGACGGUCUUAGGAUUGUAAAGCUCUUUCACCGGUGAAGAUAAUGACGGUAACCGGAGAAGAAGCCCCGGCUAACUUCGUGCCAGCAGCCGCGGUAAUACGAAGGGGGCUAGCGUUGUUCGGAUUUACUGGGCGUAAAGCGCACGUAGGCGGACUUUUAAGUCAGGGGUGAAAUCCCAGAGCUCAACUCUGGAACUGCCUUUGAUACUGGAAGUCUUGAGUAUGGAAGAGGUGAGUGGAAUUCCGAGUGUAGAGGUGAAAUUCGUAGAUAUUCGGAGGAACACCAGUGGCGAAGGCGGCUCACUGGUCCAUUACUGACGCUGAGGUGCGAAAGCGUGGGGAGCAAACAGGAUUAGAAACCCUAGUAGUCCU
rnacentral:rRNA from 1 species